rnacentral:rRNA from 1 species
UACAGAGGUCCCGAGCGUUGUUCGGAUUUAUUGGGCGUAAAGGGUGCGUAGGUGGUGGGGUAAGUCGGAUGUGAAAGCUCGGAGCUCAACUCCGAAAUGGCAUUGGAAACUACCCUGCUAGAGGAUUGGAGGGGGGACUGGAAUACUUGGUGUAGCAGUGAAAUGCGUAGAUAUCAAGUGGAACACCAGUGGCGAAGGCGAGUCCCUGGACAAUACCUGACACUGAGGCACGAAAGCUAGGGGAGCAAACAGG